ensembl:snoRNA small nucleolar RNA SNORA49
CUUCCCCUCCCUUACUCCAGAGCCUGCGUUCAGUGCAGUGCCCUGGCAUUGACAGGGGUACAGCAGUGUCCCGCUUGCUUCUUCUGCAGGACUCCCUGUGGGCUGGCAAGGGGGUCUACAGA